GAAUACCUUAUAAUCUGUGACAAAUUUUGAUCCAUCAAUACUUUAUAUUGAAGGAAGGAUAGUGUUUUUUGGUAAAUCAAUGAGUAUUUCAAGUUUCUGAAAAAACAAGGCUCAUUUGUUGCCUUGUUCCACCAAUUUCUAAUAAUUUUAUUCAAAAAUUAACAAGGUCCUACAGCUACAUCUCUCUCCUUGUGUCACGUACAUGUUCUCCAUGAGCGUCACCGAACGCAUCUGCAACCAUUUUGGCACCCUAACUUGUAUUGGAAUAUACAUCUAAAACUGAAUCUCCAUUGCUAGCUCACCCUCUCAGUGUUAUCAGAUCUAAAAAUAAAGGUUGGUGAUCUAAUUCUGGCAAAACAUCUAAUAGUGGCAGGGCCGAUCUUGGCCAACCAUCCAGUCACUCUUACUGACACAUGGAAGUUCAUCUCCAUUGCUAGCUUUACCUCUUAGAAUUCUCAAAUCUGAAAAUGGUUGCUAAAGAUCCAAUUCUGAUAAAACCCCAUGCCAAAUAACAGCGAUAAGUGCCGAUAGGGAGUAGCCCA
rnacentral:lncRNA from 1 species